AUUGAACGCUGGCGGCAUGCCUUACACAUGCAAGUCGAACGGCAGCGCGGACUUCGGUCUGGCGGCGAGUGGCGAACGGGUGAGUAAUACAUCGGAACGUACCCUGUUGUGGGGGAUAACUAGUCGAAAGAUUAGCUAAUACCGCAUACGACCUGAGGGUGAAAGUGGGGGACCGCAAGGCCUCACGCAGCAGGAGCGGCCGAUGUCUGAUUAGCUAGUUGGUGGGGUAAAGGCCCACCAAGGCGACGAUCAGUAGCUGGUCUGAGAGGACGAUCAGCCACACUGGGACUGAGACACGGCCCAGACUCCUACGGGAGGCAGCAGUGGGGAAUUUUGGACAAUGGGGGCAACCCUGAUCCAGCAAUGCCGCGUGUGUGAAGAAGGCCUUCGGGUUGUAAAGCACUUUUGUCCGGAAAGAAAUCGCGCUGGUUAAUACCUGGCGUGGAUGACGGUACCGGAAGAAUAAGCACCGGCUAACUGCGUGUCAGCAGCCGCGGUAA
rnacentral:rRNA from 1 species